UUAAUGUGGAUUUACAUACCAAACAUAUUUCCUGCCAGAGCCCCAGGAAAGGCCCCUCUCUCCUUUCACCAUAAGGCUGGAAAGCAGGGUUCCUAGGAGAUAGAGCUAGAAGCCAAAAGCUUGUGUGGUGGCGCCUCGUGGUCCCUCUUGGAAACGGGUGAAAAACAAAGCCCGGGCUCAAGGGAGGUCUUGGCUCUCCUAGACAGCCCAUCCUCCUCCCAGUUCCGUAGAUUUAAAGGGUAGGGCGCAAAAAUCGGUUCAGGGACCUCCGGAGUGGUGAUAGGCGAAGUCUCAUUGUUCUGGAGGUGUGUGACUUGAGAGGUCUAUGUCCUUGUCUGAAUAAACCUUAGCAAUAACCCUCGAGUCUGUGUUAGCAACUAAUCCCACACUGUCUAGUCUCCAAAGAGAGGGGAGCGGUCUUCAGCCCUGCGGUGGAGAUGUUGGAGCUGGACUCUGAGUUCGCAGGCCCGGGGUGCGGAGUCACAUCACUCCACCCGGGCUCCCAGCCCACCUAGAGUCACGAGGUGCGGGAAGCGCCAGGAGCACGCGGCAGGUGCGCCAAGUCCCCCGGGUCCCCGCCCUGCUCGCUGCCUGGCGCCUCUCCGCGGCAGCCAAGCGCUGGAGCGGAGAGGAGGAGCCUCGGGCACGGAGCGGGUGGAGUCGGAGGGCGGUGGAGGCGGAUUUCCUGGGAGGGCUCUCUGGAGCUACCAUGGCGUUUGGGAAGAGUCACCGCGAUCCUUACGCUACCUCUGUGGGUCACCUCAUAGAAAAGGCCACUUUUGCUGGAGUUCUGACUGAAGACUGGGGCCAGUUCCUGCACAUCUGUGACAUAAUUAACACCACACAGGACGGGCCAAAAGAUGCAGUAAAAGCUUUGAAGAAAAGGAUCUCCAAAAACUAUAACCACAAAGAAAUCCAACUUUCCUUAUCACUCAUUGACAUGUGCGUGCAGAACUGUGGCCCGAGUUUCCAAUCUCUGAUUGUGAAGAAGGAGUUCAUUAAAGAUACUCUAGUUAAGCUGCUGAAUCCCAGAUACACCUUACCGCUGGAGACCCAGAACAGAAUCUUGAAUUUCAUUAAGACCUGGUCCCAGGGCUUCCCAGGAGGUGUAGAUGUGAGUGAGGUGAAGGAAGUGUACCUUGACCUGCUGAAGAAAGGGGUUCAAUUCCCGCCCUCGGAUGGAGAGCCUGAGACAAGGCAGGAGGCUGGUCAGAUCUCACCAAAUCGACCGACAUCUGUCCCCACUGCACCUGCACUUUCUUCUAUAAUUGCUCCCAAGAACCCAACUAUUUCCUUAGUCCCAGAACAGAUCGGGAAGCUGCAUAGUGAACUAGAUAUGGUGAAAAUGAAUGUGAAAGUGAUGACAGCCAUAUUGAUGGAGAAUACUCCUGGCUCUGAAAACCAUGAAGACAUCGAGCUCCUGCGGAAACUUUACAAGACAGGUCGGGAGAUGCAGGAGAGGAUCAUGGACCUGCUGGUGGUGGUGGAAAAUGAAGACGUGACUAUGGAGCUAAUUCAAGUGAACGAGGAUCUGAAUAAUGCCGUCCUUGGAUAUGAGAGGUUUACUCGAAACCAACAAAGGCUUUUGGAACAGAAGAGGAACCGGACAGAAGCAACCCGUACUUCCAGCGAGCCCUCUGCUCCUUCCUGCGAUCUCCUCGACCUAAGCCCCAUCGUGCCAGUGCCUACGCCCAAUGAGGGAGCACUCAACUCCGUGAACGCCCAGCUUUCAGGCCUAAGUGUCAGCUCUCUGAGCCCUGUUAUAACAAACAACUUGUAUCCCAGUCUUCAGCCACAGAGGGAUUUACUAGCAUCAGAAGAUAUAGAAAUACCCACCUUGGUAAUCAUGCUGUGUUAUCACACUAUCCUAGGUUUCCCCAGAGGACCAGCCAAAACCUCGCCUCGAGUCACACAUAUGAUAAUUUUCACUCCAAUUCAGUAUUACUCCAGCCAGUUAGCCUACACACCGCCACAGCAGCAGCAGCAGCAAACCAGAGGCUGCCACCCUUGCCAAGCAGUCAUCCAGUGCUAAAAGACGGCGAUCUCCAGCCACCCAAUUACUACGAGGUAAUGGAGUUUGAUCCCUUAGCUCCCACUACAGAAGCUGUUUAUGAAGAAAUUGAUGGUUACCACCAGAAAGAAGCUCAAAGUCAUAGUGACUGCUAAGAUACACAAAGGGCCAGCUCUCUAAAGGAAUACUUGAUCAGCAGAGGCCUGACAGACAAGACCUGCCAACAGGGAGAGCCCCAGUGGACCAUUUCUCUGCUGGAAGCUUCAACAGAAGAGUUAACACUUCCUGGCCAACACUGCUGUUCCUGACAAUGCCUUGAGACUUCAGGAAAAUCUUGUUGUGAGGAAAACUGCCUAGAACUAGGCCAACUGGUUAAACUGUGGACUCUUACAUUGUGCAGGCAUUGCUAUCAGUACAAAUCAUGACAGAUCUAUGAUGGGGUACUUUAAGAUCAAUCAUCCUACUAUAAAAUAUUGUAAACAGAUGGGGAAAGGAAGAAAAUGAGUGCCUUUAUUUAACUGAAUCUGAAUGUACAAUUCAGUUUGUACUUGUUUAUAAAUAACAUUUUGGUUUAGAAUUGCUUGAAAGACUUGUUUAAUUAUAUUUCAAGUGCCUGAGUAGGCCACUGCAUCAGGUGGCCUAAGAUGUAGUUAGUCCUAUGUAAUGUUUAACAUUCUUGCCUUUUAUUAUAAUUCACAUUCUGAUUUGAAACAAUGACUCUUGGAAAACUGGACAAUGCAUCAUUUACAUAAAAUUAAAUUACUAUUAAUUUGUCA